rnacentral:tRNA from 1 species
GCUCUUGUUGCUCAGUUGGUUAGAGCACUUGUUUAGUAAGCGGGAGGUCUUGAGUUCAACUCUCAACUAGAGCA